rnacentral:misc_RNA from 1 species
UUUUAUCGUAGUCAUUUCAAACCAGUUCACUGAAAAAAAUAGAUUUUUGUUGAAAUACCGAAGAAGCUUCCUAAUUUCGUGCGAAUAAUUAAUAAUAUUGUUGUUACAGGCGUAUUAAAUAAGGAUGGGAACAAGUGAUCAACAAAUUCAUCCUGCAAACGAAGCUACUCCAGAAGGACUUCCAUCACUUAUCAGAUUCAUCAGUUCUGAAAUGGAUCAUGAUUUUGAUGCCAUAGUGAAUGACCAUAUUAAUAAUCAGUCUGCGCUUGCACCAGAUUCUAACUCUUCAAACUCAGCAAUUAUGAUAUCUGAAGCUGCUGCUGCUGAGCGAGAGAGCGAAAAAAUUCAUGCAGUUUCCAUUAGCAUGCCACCCACUCCGAAAAAAGUUGGUUUUGCUGAGUCUAUAGAAGCUCCUGAUUCUGCUGCUGCUGCUACAUCAAAAGAUAGUAAAACUAAGUUUUAUUCUCAGCCUAUGCCGAGAGCUAAUACUACUAAUGCAUCUUUAGCUGGAGUUCAUGCUAGCUGUGAACUUCCUAGGCAUCCUAGGAUUAGCAAGUUGAAGGAUAAAAGAUUUGACAGCUUCAAGACAUGGUCUGGUGGGCUUGAGAGACAAUUAUCAAAUUUGCGCGGAAAUAGGAACCAGGAAACAGAACAAGAGUCUGUAGCUCAACCCUGUGCUGAACCGGAACCUAAUACUCCGGUUAAUAUUCCUGUGGAUCGAUUUUUUGAUGCCUUGGAGGGACCAGAACUUGAUAAGCUAAGGGCUUCAGAGGAAAGUAUCCUUCCAGAGGACAAGACAUGGCCAUUUCUACUCCGUUAUCCUAUUUCAUCGUUUGGUAUCAUACUUGGCGUUAGCAGCCAAGCUAUAAUGUGGAAAGCCUUGGCCACUUCUGCCUCCACCAAAUUCCUCCACAUAAGCAUGGAUGUAAACCUUGUGCUCUGGUGGAUCUCUGUUGUCCUGAUGGCGAUUGUUACUUUCACUUAUGCGCUGAAAAUCAUUUUCUACUUUGAAGCAGUUCGUAGGGAGUACUACCACCCGAUACGUGUUAACUUCUUCUUUGCUCCAUGGAUAGCACUUCUAUUCUUAGCACUUGGACUUCCACCUUCAGUCUAUCAAAACCUUCCUCAUGCUUUAUGGUAUGUCCUUAUGACACCAUUCUUAUGUUUGGAGCUCAAGAUUUACGGACAAUGGAUGUCUGGUGGUCAACGAAGGCUCUCAAAGGUAGCCAAUCCAUCGAAUCAUCUCUCAGUUGUGGGAAAUUUUGUUGGUUCCUUGCUUGGUGCAUCCAUGGGACUUAAAGAAGGACCGAUUUUCUUCUUUGCUGUUGGAUUGGCUCAUUACACGGUUCUGUUUGUAACUCUCUACCAAAGACUUCCAACAAAUGAGACACUCCCAAAGGAGCUACAUCCUGUGUUCUUUCUAUUUGUUGCUGCCCCUAGUGUUGCUUCUAUGGCAUGGGCAAAUAUCCAAGGGUCCUUUGAUUUUGGUGCACGGAUCGCCUACUUCAUUGCCUUGUUCCUUUACUUCUCACUGGCUGUUCGGAUUAAUUUCUUCCGAGGCUUCAGGUUCUCAUUGGCUUGGUGGGCUUA